AUUUAUUGCCCUCACUUAAAAAGCAAUUUGUGAAAAAGUAUUAAAUCUUCGGCACGCGGAAAAUAAAACAUUUUUGGCCACCGGAAGUGGCAGCGAAAGAGAUUAAAAAGAUUGCCCAACAAAUUUGUAGAAACCGAAGACGCAUCUCUAGGAAAUAAAGUGUCAAGUCGAGUUCAACGAUUUAUUAUUGUUUAUGCUCGCAUGCGGAAAUCGUCUGCAAUUUAUAUCAAUUCAAAUACUAUAACAUAAUUGACAAUGAAGAAGAGUUAAGGAGGGGUUGAGAGAGAGCGUGGGUUGACUGAGUGUGCAAAAAAGCUAUGCACAAGGUGCAAAUUCAAUGGAAAUCUAAUCUGUGCAGAAAAGGGUUGGAAAAUGAUUUUAAUUGGCGUGACUUACACAGAAAAUAAUGAAGAGAGAACUCAUUAAGUUGAAAGUUCAUCAUAGUUGAAUGCGAAAUUUGAUAUUGAGUUUUAAAGAGUUUGCAGUUCUGUGGUAAUUAGGACUUGUUGAACCACCCUCGCUCGCUCUCUCCCCCAACUCGCUUUGUUGCCUGCUAUCAAUGGCAGCGAAAAGCAAAUGAAACCAAAGCCAUGACCAGAGGAAGCACAUCACACACACAUAAACAUAGCUGGGGUUAGGAUGCAGAGCACAGAAUAAACAAGUGAAGUGAUGCAGGGAACAAGAGAGGAGAGAGGAGAAGGAGAUGGAGACAACCCGAUAACGGACUGAACUAAGCCUGAUAUCAUUUAUCAUACUAAUGCCCGCACAAUUGAAUCCGCAGAGUGAACGAGAGAACGAGAACGAGAGCUGCUCUUUCGAUGCUUCUUGACACGCAUCAACAAUUCAGUGCCUCGCAUGUAAAUGCGAAUGGCGAAUGCGAAUGUGAAUAUAUAUGUAUAUAUAUGUAUGUGUAUGCGUAUGUGCAUGUGAUGGCUGAGA